UACAGAGGUCCCGAGCGUUGUUCGGAUUCACUGGGCGUAAAGGGUGCGCAGGUGGCUGGGAAAGUUUGAUGUGAAAGCUCAGGGCCUAACCCUGAAAUGGCAUUGAAAACUGCCCGGCUGGAGGUUUGGAGGGGGGACUGGAAUUCUCGGUGUAGCAGUGAAAUGCGUAGAUAUCGAGAGGAACACCAGUGGCGAAGGCGAGUCCCUGGACAACACCUGACACUGAGGCACGAAAGCUAGGGGAGCAAACAGG
rnacentral:rRNA from 1 species